rnacentral:rRNA from 1 species
UACGUAGGGUGCAAGCGUUAAUCGGAAUUACUGGGCGUAAAGCGUGCGCAGGCGGUUGUGCAAGACAGAUGUGAAAUCCCCGGGCUAACCUGGGAACUGCAUUUGUGACUGCAUGGCUGGAGUGCGGCAGAGGGGGAUGGAAUUCCGCGUGUAGCAGUGAAAUGCGUAGAUAUGCGGAGGAACACCGAUGGCGGAAGGCAUCCCCUGGGCCUGCACUGACGCUCAUGCACGAAAGGCGUGGGGAGCAGACAGG